AACCUUACCUGGCACUGGGUUCAGCGUGAUCAAGAACGCUCUGACCCCGGGUGGAGGCUCACCAUUGCACCUCGGUGGGUUGAAACUCGCGACGGACCCUA
rnacentral:snRNA from 15 species